rnacentral:rRNA from 1 species
AUUGAACGCUGGCGGCAGGCCUAACACAUGCAAGUCGAACGGUAGCACAGAGAGCUUGCUCUCGGGUGACGAGUGGCGGACGGGUGAGUAAUGUCUGGGAAACUGCCCGAUGGAGGGGGAUAACUACUGGAAACGGUAGCUAAUACCGCAUAACGUCGCAAGACCAAAGUGGGGGACCUUCGGGCCUCACACCAUCGGAUGUGCCCAGAUGGGAUUAGCUAGUAGGUGGGGUAAUGGCUCACCUAGGCGACGAUCCCUAGCUGGUCUGAGAGGCUGCCCAGCCGCGCUGGAACUGAGACACGGUCCAGACUCCUACGGGAGGCAGCAGUGGGGAAUAUUGCACAAUGGGCGCAAGCCUGAUGCAGCCAUGCCGCGUGUAUGAAGAAGGCCUUCGGGUUGUAAAGUACUUUCAGCGGGGAGGAAGGCGGUGAAGUUAAUAACUUCACCGAUUGACGUUACCCGCAGAAGAAGCACCGGCUAACUCCGUGCCAGCCGCCGCAGUAA